AUACCAUGAUGGGGACACUUCCUUAAUAGUCCCUUGAAAUGCUCCCAAGCAUCAUACAGUGAUUCCUCAUUAGUUUUGUGGAAAUUGUUAAUCUCUUCACUUAACCAU